UUUAUAUAAAAUACCCGGUCUUUAUAUAAAGUCUCCUAUCGCAGAGGAGAAACAGAAACCAAAUGAAGAUAGGAAUGAGGAAUACACUGUUGCGUUGUUGCUGUUGGGGAUGGUCACUUAACCGAUUUCAAGUGAAAAACAUCGAAAUUUGGCUAAAAUUCCGAUUCACUAAUCGACUUGGCAUGCCUAGAAACCACCAAAUACAACAUUUAUACAUUAAGAGGUACCUAUUGAAGAUAUUUAAGUUAUACGGUUUCCCUUUCCAACCAGUAUAUCGAUGGCAGUAUCUUAUAAAAUGCACGGAUAUGCACCUUUUUUAU